AUGUCAGUGGGCUCCCACUUGCCAAGGACUGUAAACAGACAAGAGGAGGAACCUGACUGGAAAUGCUCCCUGGAUCUUGUGCUUCUUUUCUUCCUACCCAGGGGCUUAAAAGCUUUCUCAGCAUUUCCUGCAUCUUCCGUGGCCAGAUGGGAACCCAGCGCAUCCUGGGACUCACCCGAACACAGCCAACCUGUCGUCAGGACAUUUUACAAACAAAUCCAUCCAAGGAUAGAAUGGGAUGUCUCCCAACACAGAGAAGGCACUGCCAUAGGUAAAAACGCUGUUUUCUAAGAUUUCCAGAUGCCCUGGACAGCACCACCAUCCUGAAAGAGUGUGACAGACAAAGCACAUGGGGUUCUAGGGCAGUGGUGAUCAUCACUGUCCACUCACUGCUGCCUCAUGACUGCACCCAGACUGGGUGAGGACCAUGAAUGGGGAACAACCUGUUGAGAAGAGCCUAGAGGGAGGCAAGAGGUGAAUACAUGUGGAUGCUAUCUUGGUCAUGACCGUGAUGGUUACAGUGCCUGGGACAGUAAUGCCAGUGAUGACGCUGGUCACAGUAAUGACCGGAAGAGUGGUCACAAUGGGACAUGACGGCAGUGUGCCAACCAACUGUGCUGAUGUGGGAUCAGGACUGUCAGAGAACAAGGCACUCCAUCUUUCCAACAUGAACUCCUCACAUUUAAGCUCAUCCAUAUCACGGGACUUCCCUGGUGGCUCAAACACUAAAGAAUCUGCCUGCAAUGCAGUGGACCAGCCCCAGCUAAGCCUGGCUCUUUUCAGCUGAUCAGUAAAUACGUGGAAGAACAGAAAGCUAGCGUCUUACUGUUCUAUCUGCCUCUCCAUCUGUGGGCAGUAUUUGAGCAUAGGUGAGGCCAGGCUCCUGGGGAGGAAAGGAUUGCGUGGGUGGUGUGUAGGGAUGUUUUGAUUGCCUUUUCAAAGUGGAGCCUUGGCCCAGGGUGGUGGUGUCUUGGGAACCCAGGGGACCUUGGCCAGUCCCAGGCAAUGGGCUUCAGUGAAGUGUUGCCCACGAGGGACCCUGGGUGGUCAGAAGCCUGGGCAUGCCUCCUCCCAGCACAGCCCCCGGAACCACUCAGCAGAAGAGGAGCCAGGAAGUCUGAGCUCAGGCCCCGCCCUGCCAUUGCUCCUGGCACAGCUUUGAGCAGAUCUUUCAACUUUUGUGACUCAGUUUACUCAACUGCCAAAUGGAGAUCAUCACGUGGCGCUCCAAAGACUUUUGUAAUACUGUAAUGAGUGUUUAUAAAGCACUUUGUAGGAGUUUAUGGUUAUU
rnacentral:lncRNA from 1 species